CCUACGGGUGGCAGCAGUGGGGAAUAUUGCGCAAUGGGCGAAAGCCUGACGCAGCGACGCCGCGUGAGGGAUGAAGGUCCUCGGAUCGUAAACCUCUGUCAGCAGGGAAGAACGGUCACUGUGCUAAUCAGCAGUGAAUUGACGGUACCUGCAAAGGAAGCACCGGCUAACUCCGUGCCAGCAGCCGCGGUAAUACGGAGGGUGCGAGCGUUAAUCGGAAUUACUGGGCGUAAAGCGCUCGUAGGCGGUAUGUCAAGUCAAGGGGUAAAUCCCCGAGCUCAACGUGGGAACUGCCUUUGAAACUGGCAAACUGGGGUGUGUGAGAGGAUAGUGGAAUUCGAGGUGUAGGAGUGAAAUCCGUAGAUAUCUGGAGGAACAUCAGUGGCGAAGGCGACUAUCUGGCACAUAACUGACGCUGAGGAGCGAAAGCGUGGGUAGCAAACAGGAUUAGAUACCCCAGUAGUC
rnacentral:rRNA from 1 species